rnacentral:rRNA from 1 species
GUUGAAUUUCUAAAUUUUUGGAAUCCACACUUAACUGUGGGGCCAAAGAAAUCUGAGAUUUAGAACCGGAGGGGUAAGAGUAUUCAGGGUGAGUGAAAUUUUGUAACCUGAGGCCACCGAUGAGGAAGGCAUUUACCAGAAGGUUCUCAUUUGGUAUGGAAAAAAGGGAACGACCGGCCUCCCAUACCCCGUAGAAACAGCCGUAAACUAUGCUCUUGGGGGACCCAGGAACCCCCCUUACCAAGUGCGGGGGUAACCGUGAAACGUGCCGCCUUUUUUCUGCUUCCGCCUGGCUGAAGCUUAAAGGAAUUGGCGGGGGAGCACCACAACGGGUGGAGCUUGCGGUUUAAUUAGGCUCGGCGCCGGGCAGCUCACCGGAUAGGACAGCGGAAUGAUAGCCGGGCUGAAGACCUUGCUUGACCAGCUGAGAGGAAGACAUGGCCGUCGUCAUUCUUUCCUCUUAAGCAAAAGAAAAACAGGCAACCACGAGACACAAAAACGGAUUCUUCCCUUUUCCCCGAGGCUUUCAUCUUGCUUCCCAUAGGAGUCGUAUAGCGCUGGUUA